GGGGCCAUAGCUCAGUUGGGAGAGCGCAUGACUGGCAGUCAUGAGGUCAGGGGUUCGAACCCCCUUGGCUCCA
rnacentral:tRNA from 1 species